CGUGGCGUAGCAUUUGGAGUGGAGUUUCAUGUGGUGUGAGGUUCGAAGCUUCAGACUGUUGCCCAGCUCGAAGCCAGAGUGAGGUGGAGGGUUCAUUUCACUCCUCGCUUCCUCACGGCUGGCUGGUGUCCUUGGCGCUCUCUCCUCGUCUGGUCUAAAGACAGUCGUGGUGGAGGUGGUGGCGGCAAGCUGGCGACAGUGGUGGUGGUGGUGGUGGGUGUGCUGGAUGGCUGGCUCAAAUCAGCACAGCCACAAGACCCACAGCGUGAGAUGAUGGAAGGCACACACACACAGGCCACAGCAGUCGGUUUUCUGUUGCCUCGUGGUGUGUAGGGUGGAGAGUGGUGAGCAGGAGAGAAGGAAGGAAGGAAGGAAGUUGGUUGCUGCUCCACCUCCAGGGCCAUCAAGGGCUGUUUGCCUAGUGUACUGUGUGUCCGUCACUUCCACACAGGUGAGCAGCUGUGGAGUGGAGUCUGGCUUCAACACACAACACUGGGUGGUUUGGGGAGGUAGUGGUUUGAUGAGGUGAUGUCCAGGGGCAUGCCAACUUCACAAGACACUCCUCCAGGCCCCAGGACACUUACUCAGUCCCCCACCCUCACCCCUCCACACUGGCAAGACACUCAGGCACCCCAGAAAGAGACAACAGUGAAGUAGUUUUUAGUGUUUAUUAAGUCGCUAAAAAAGAUGGAGGUAAUCAGAAGUGACCCUUAAUCCUCACCACACAGCACUGACCACCCCUGCCCUUCUGCGCGCUCUCUCUCUCUCUCUCUCUCUCUCUCUCUCUCUCUCUCUCUCUCUCGCUCAGCUCAGCUCAGCUCAGCUCAGCUCACAAUCCCACAGUAUGUUGGCUUAUGAGGGGCUUGACCUGUAUCAGUGCAAUUAACUAAUCUCUUUAAGCCGGACAAUUCAAACUUCUCACUGGCUUCUAUUUGGUGUCAGCCCGCGUGUGCCAACUGUAAAAUGUAAUCUUUAUAGUCUCCUAUAUAACUUAUUGUUGCGCCAAGAGGAAUUGCUCAGUCAGUCUGUAUACACCGUUAGAUUCCUGAAUCAUUGCCACAUAUUUCUGAAAUGUGCAUUUUCUGUUUCAUAGGUAUAUUAUAAAGUUUCUUUUGAAAGAAGAAUGUCGCAACAUAAGUAAGUAGUGCUGCUAGGCAAACGCUACCCCACCCCUACACACACGCACACACAUCCCUAACACACGCAUCUCAAGCUUACUAACAACAGACAGUGGUACGACAAGAUUAAGUCUUGUGUGGUUUACAAAAACAAGCCUCUUCUCUUCCCUGCGUU